UGCCAGCCCCGCGGUAAUACGGAGGGUGCAAGCGUUAAUCGGAAUUACUGGGCGUAAAGAGUACGUAGGCGGCUUUUCAAGUCGGAUGUGAAAGCCCUGAGCUUAACUCAGGAACUGCAUUCGAUACUGGAUCGCUAGAGUAUAUUAGAGGAUAGUGGAAUUUCAAGUGUAGCGGUGAAAUGCGUAGAUAUUUGAAGGAACACCAAUGGCGAAGGCAGCUAUCUGGACAAUAACUGACGCUGAGGCACGAAAGCAUGUGUAGCGAAAGGGAUUAGAUA
rnacentral:rRNA from 1 species